rnacentral:tRNA from 1 species
GAUGAGAUGGCCGAGCGGUUUAAGGCGCUCCUUUGCUAAUGGAGUAUAUUUAUUAUAUCGAGGGUUCGAAUCCCUCUCUCAUCU